rnacentral:tRNA from 1 species
CGCGGGGUGGAGCAGCCUGGUAGCUCGUCGGGCUCAUAACCCGAAGGUC